rnacentral:lncRNA from 1 species
UGUCAUUGGGCCCUUUGUGGAUGGAGAAAGGCAAAGUGCACAGGAAGCUCAAAAAUAUAUGCAGGAAAAUCAUACAGAGAGGUGAUGUAAAGACAACCAAAAUGUUCAUGUGAAAAGAUGAAGAAGACAGCAGAUCACCACAGGCAUCUGAGCAUUAGUUAGGUAAACCUAGAUUUUGGUGCAUUAUGACCUUCAAAGUAGUUCAGUGAGAAAAAAAUCAGCUAAAACAUUCUUUUGUAUACAGUGGCAGUACUGCUUCCCAAGAAUUCAGUGGGAAGACACACUGCUUUUAUUUUAAGCAAGUAGUCCAAUAUAGCUGGUAAAAAUGCAGUUUCAGGAAGAAGUGAACUAGAUUUCACACAUAAUACAGAUUGUUCUGACUUGUGUGCCCAGUGGUCUCCCAGUGGUUAAAAAUGCGUGUUAUGAAGAGCAACAAGCUUACUCUAUUCCUCCUUCUGAGAGCAGGGAGCAGCUGAUGUGAUUAAGCAGGUGAGUGAUAGAGCCACUCUUGACUAAUCUGAAGAAGAUCUGUGAGAAGAGGUAAAAUUGUGGAACUCUGAACUAGAAAAUAUAAUGGGCCCUGGAAACAAUCCUGCAUGAACAUGCUGGCUGGGAAUUAGAAGAAACAUCACAGGCUCAUCUUUCUGUCAACUAGCAAUCACAUCAUCCAGCACUGUCUGACAGAUGACUUGAUCUCACACCUGAAUGUGUCCAAGCAUCCUCUCCACCUCUCCUUCCCUGGUUUCAGGCUGCCUGUGCAGGUGAGAGCAGCCAUCCUCAGUUGUACUAAAGGUCCACUUAAGAAGGCAGCAUACUGCCCCUGUAGCCCCCUGACAAAUGCUGAGGGAGGGAGUAAAUGA